AGUGGGAUAGCUGGGUCAAAUAGUGAUUCCAUUCCAAGUUUUCUGAGCAAAUCUCCAUAGUGCUUUCCAAAGUGGUUUCACCAAUUUGCAGUCCCACCAGUAAU
rnacentral:pre_miRNA from 1 species